AACGUAGGAGACAAACGUUAUCCGGAGUUACUGGGCGUAAAGGGCGUGUAGGCGGUCUGUUAAGUCUGGCGUGAAAGCUCUCGGCUAAACCGGGAGAGGUCGUUGGAUACUGGCAGACUAGAGGACGGUAGAGGCGUGUGGAAUUCCGGGUGUAGUGGUGAAAUGCGUAGAGAUCCGGAGGAACACCAGUGGCGAAGGCGACACGCUGGGCCGUACCUGACGCUAAAGCGCGACAGCAUGGGGAGCGAACGGG
rnacentral:rRNA from 1 species